rnacentral:rRNA from 1 species
UGGGGAAUAUUGGACAAUGGGGCAACCCUGAUCCAGCAAUGCCGCGUGUGUGAAGAAGGUCUUCGGAUUGUAAAGCACUUUCGACGGGGACGAUGAUGACGGUACCCGUAGAAGAAGCCCCGGCUAACUUCGUGCCAGCAGCCGCGGUAAUACGAAGGGGGCUAGCGUUGCUCGGAAUGACUGGGCGUAAAGGGCGUGUAGGCGGUUUACACAGUCAGAUGUGAAAUCCCCCGGGCUUAACCUGGGAGCUGCAUUU